CGAAUUUCCACUGGUGAUAACACUCUCUUGCUUCGACUCCGCCGGAGGAUUUCAAACAACCACCUUCCCUGAAUCAUUAUACUCAGCUGUCCCGGUGCAUUUACACCAACUGUUACCUGGUUUAGUGGUGCUGAAGAUGAUAUUCUCAAUUGCUCAAAACUCUCUAAAUCUGAUGGAACGGAUGAUAUUGGAAUAGAGUAUAAAACCUUGAUAUCUGAGACAUAGACAAAUUUCCAGCCAUGGAGACUUGCGCGGAGGGACAGAUCCAAGUCCUCAGUGGUUGUGCGUGCAUUCCAUCCUCCAGCUUCGUCAAUUGUCAUUAAGAUUAUCUAGAGCAACAAGAUAGAAUCAGCUAAGAGAGAUGAAACUAAAUUACUGGAUUCCCACUGUGCUUGAACAAGACCAAUUUCAGGAUUGUGAAUGAAAUAAGGAACGAUCCUGUGGAGGUAGUCUGGUUCUGG